rnacentral:rRNA from 1 species
GCUCAACCUUGGACAGGCAGCAGAGUACCUUUAGACUUGAGUGUGGUAGAGGUAGAGGGAAUCCCUAGCGUAACAGUGAAAUGUGUAGAUUUUAGGGAGAACACCAGCGGCGAAGGCGCUCUACUGGGCCAAUACUGACACUGAGAGACGAAAGCUAAGGGAGCGAAUAGGAUUAGAUACCCUAGUAGUCUUAGCUGUAAACGAUGGAAACUAAGUGCUGCCGAAUGCAGUGCUGUAGCUAACGCGUUAAGUUUCCCGCCUGGGGAGUAUGCUCGCAAGAGUGAAACUCAAA